rnacentral:rRNA from 1 species
GACAGAGGGUGCAACCGUUGUUCGGAAUUACUGGGCGUAAAGCGUGUGUAGGCGGCCAUACAAGUCGGAUGUGAAAGCCCGGGGCUCAACUCCGGAAUUGCCUUUAAAACUGCAUCGCUAGAAUUGUGGAGAGGUAAGUGGAAUUCCGAGUGUAGAGGUGAAAUUCGUAGAUAUUCGGAAGAACACCAGUGGCGAAGGCGACUUACUGGACACAUAUUGACGCUGAGGUGCGAAAGCGUGGGGAGCAAACAGG